AUUGAACGCUGGCGGCAGGCUUAACACAUGCAAGUCGAGCGAGCGGCGGACGGGUGAGUAAUGUCUGGGAAACUGCCCGAUGGAGGGGGAUAACUACUGGAAACGGUGGCUAAUACCGCAUACCAUCAGAUGGACCCGGAUGGGAUUAGCUAGUAGGUGGGGUAAUGGCUCACCUAGGCGACGAUCCCUAGCGGGUCUGAGGGGAUGACCAGCCACACUGGAACUGAGACACGGUCCAGACUCCUAGGGGAGGCAGCAGUGGGGAAUAUUGCACAAUGGGCGCAAGCCUGAUGCAGCCAGGCCGCGUGGUGGAAGAGGGCCUUCGGGUUGUAAAGCACUUUCAGCGAGGAGGCGUUACUCGCAGAAGAAGCACCGGCUAACUCCGUGCCAGCCGCCGCGGUAAUAC
rnacentral:rRNA from 1 species